UUCUACUUAUCCUUUAUGAUGCAGCUUCAAUUUCAUUUCUUCCUUCUCAUAUCCUUCUCUUUCCUCAUCUUUCUGGCCUAGCUGCCCAAAUAUGUGCUCACCCCAUCAUAAGUCCUUAAAAGGUAUGGCAGUAGUCUGCCGUAAUCAUCCCCCUGGAUAAACCAUGAGCUCCUGAGGGGCAGAGGUGACAUUUGUCAUCAUUACCUCCCCAGGGAGCAUGGCGUACGGCAGGUGUCACAGGCAGUGCUCAACAAUAUUACCUGACAGACAAAAUGAGUUGAAUUUGAAUUUCAUCCAGCUACCUGCCACUCACAUAAACCUUCACUUAAUAUUUAUUAAGCUCUACUAAGGACAAUGUAAUGUGCUAAGGGCAGGGGAUGCAGAAAUUUCAAGAUGAAGAUACCACAGCUUCCAGAAUAGAGCCGGAGUUCAGAUUGCAUCGUCUGCCUGAAGCCUCGGCGCCUGUGCUGACUCCCGACCCUCCCCACCUCCUUGCCUCUGCCCGACCUCUGGUGCUCCACUCAAGAAACCUGAGUUGA
rnacentral:lncRNA from 1 species